rnacentral:tRNA from 1 species
GUUCCUGUAGUUAAAUUUUUUAACGACGGCUUUUCAGGCCGUAGAUCUCGGAGAAAGGCCGGGUAGGAAUU